GCCUCGGUGGUCCAGGGGGAGGACAGUAUGGCGGUCGUUGACUGCACCUUACUAAAAUGGCUGCAGGAAACGCCACCACACAGGGCCCGGGUUCGAGUCCCGGUCGAGGCG